rnacentral:rRNA from 1 species
AGUGAACGCUGGCGGCAGGCCUAACACAUGCAAGUCGAGCGGCAGCACAGCAGUAGCAAUACUGUGGGUGGCGAGCGGCGGACGGGUGAGGAAUGCAUCGGAAUCUGCCGAUUCGUGGGGGAUAACGUAGGGAAACUUACGCUAAUACCGCAUACGCCCCGAGGGGGAAAGUGGGGGACCGCAAGGCCUCACGCGAAUCGAUGAGCCGAUGCCCGAUUAGCUAGUUGGCGGGGUAAUGGCCCACCAAGGCGACGAUCGGUAGCUGGUCUGAGAGGAUGAUCAGCCACACUGGAACUGAGACACGGUCCAGACUCCUACGGGAGGCAGCAGUGGGGAAUAUUGGACAAUGGGGGCAACCCUGAUCCAGCCAUGCCGCGUGUGUGAAGAAGGCCUUCGGGUUGUAAAGCACUUUUGUCCGGAACGAAAAGCCGUCGGUUAAUAACCGGCGGUGCUGACGGUACCGGAAGAAUAAGCACCGGCUAACUUCGUGCCAGCAGCCGCCGUAAUAC